UUACGGCUAUAUCAGGUUGAAACACGGGUUCUCGUCUGAUCACCGAAGUUAAACAACGUCAAGCCUGGUCAGUAUCUAGAUAGGCGACCGCUUGAGAAUACCAGGGUUUG